rnacentral:tRNA from 1 species
GAAGGUAUAGCUCAGUGGUAGAGUGUGUGCUUAGCAUACACCAGGUCCUGGGUCCAAUCCCCGGUACCUCCG